rnacentral:rRNA from 1 species
UACGUAGGGUGCGAGCGUUGUCCGGAAUUAUUGGGCGUAAAGGGCUUGUAGGCGGUUUGUCGCGUCGGGCGUGAAAACACCGGGCUUAACUCGGUGCUUGCUUUCGAUACGGGCAGACUAGAGGCAUGCAGGGGAGAACGGAAUUCCUGGUGUAGCGGUGAAAUGCGCAGAUAUCAGGAGGAACACCGGUGGCGAAGGCGGUUCUCUGGGCAUGUCCUGACGCUGAGGAGCGAAAGUGUGGGGAGCGAACAGG